CAAUAGCGUAUAUUAAAGUUGUUGCAGUUAAAAAGCUCGUAGUUGGAUUUCUGGUGGGAGCGAUCGGUCUGGCGCUUAGCGCGAGUACUUGCAUCGUCUCCGGCCAUCCUUGGGGAGAGUCUGUCUGGCAUUAAGUUGUCGGGCAGAGGAUCCUCAUCGUUUACUGUGAAAAAAUUAGAGUGUUCAAAGCAGGCUUAUGCCGUUGAAUAUAUUAGCAUGGAAUAAUAAGAUAGGACUUUGGUACUAUUUUGUUGGUUUGCGCACCAAAGUAAUGAUUAAUAGGGACAGUUGGGGGUAUUCGUAUUCCGUUGUCAGAGGUGAAAUUCUUGGAUUUACGGAAGACGAACUACUGCGAAAGCAUUUACCAAGGAUGUUUCCAUUAA
rnacentral:rRNA from 1 species